UACGUAGGGUGCAAGCGUUGUCCGGAAUCAUUGGGCGUAAAAGCGCGCGUAGGUGGCUUCGUAAGUCCGUUUGUGAAAAGUCAAAGGCUCAAACCUUUGAAAUGCCGAUGGAUACUGCGAAGCUAGAGUACGGAAAGAGGGCGAAGUGGGAAAUUCCUGGUGGUAGCGGGUGGGAAUUGCGCAGAAUAUCAAGGAGGGAACACCCAAAUAGCG
rnacentral:rRNA from 1 species